CGCCAGCUCGGGCGCGGACAUCGGCCGGUUGAAGACCGGCCCGUCCGGUUCCAAGGCCCGGCCGGCGGCCA
rnacentral:tRNA from 1 species